rnacentral:rRNA from 1 species
GACGAACGCUGGCGGCAGGCUUAACACAUGCAAGUCGAACGCUCACUUCGGUGAGAGUGGCAGACGGGUGAGUAACGCGUGGGAACGUACCUUUCAGUUCGGAAUAUUCUCGGGAAACUGGGAGCAAUACCGGAUACGCCCUUAGGGGGAAAGAUUUAUCGCUGAAAGAUCGGCCCGCGUUGGAUUAGGUAGUUGGUGGGGUAAAGGCCUACCAAGCCUACGAUCUAUAGCUGGUCUGAGAGGAUGAUCAGCCACACUGGGACUGAGACACGGCCCAGACUCCUACGGGAGGCAGCAGUGGGGAAUCUUGGACAAUGGGGGAAACCCUGAUCCAGCCAUGCCGCGUGAAUGAUGAAGGCCCUAGGGUUGUAAAAUUCUUUCGCCGAUGAAGAUAAUGACGGUAGUC